GGAAGGAGCUAGUACCUCUUGUUGCCAGCUUUGUUUUCUUUUCCUUAUAGCAAUUUUCUGCUUGUUUUGUUCUAUUUUAAUUUCUGGAAAAUUGAUUUUGUCUGCGUGUGUUGGAAAAUUGCAAGGUUCAGCUAAAACUUUUAUUUGCUUGUAACAUCGGUGUUGAAAAGUCAUCGAGUUGCUUCGGUAUUGUUGUGAGACAUGCAAUUACAACUCAACACAUUAUGCUUCGGUGUCUGGCCUUCUGAAGCAAAUAGGGAAGAUAUAACCAGGACGUUUCUUCGGAUUGGAGACCAUGAAUCUUUUGAAUGAAGAACACACAUCCAGAAACCCUUUUUCUAGGGCUUCUCUUGUAAUAAAAAAACAACCAAAAAAAAAUUCUUCUCAGUGUGUUUGUAGAGGUAGUAGAAGUAAUUUUACCUGAAGAACAUGUAAUUUGAUGACUCUAUGUGGCAUAAAGAUAAGCAAAGGAAAACUACUAUGACCUA